rnacentral:miRNA from 1 species
AGUGUGGCUUUCUUAGAGC